GGCAAGAUGUCCGAGUGGUCUAAGGAGUUGGAUUCAAGUUCCCAAUAGGCGUUCGCCUGCGGGGGUUCGAAUCCCCCUCUUGUCA
rnacentral:tRNA from 1 species